AUACGUAGGGUGCGAGCGUUGUCCGGAAUUACUGGGCGUAAAGAGCUCGUAGGUGGUUUGUCGCGUCGUCUGUGAAAUUCCGGGGCUUAACUCCGGGCGUGCAGGCGAUACGGGCAUAACUUGAGUACUGUAGGGGAGACUGGAUUUCGUGGUGUAGCGGUGAAAUGGGCAGAUAUCAGGAGGAACACCGGUGGCGAGGGCGGGUCUCAGGACAUCACCUGACGUUGAGGACCGAAAGCACGGGCAGCAAACAGUAUUAGAUACACUGGUAGUCCAGGCCGUACACGGUGGGUACUAGGUGUAGGGGUCAUCCACGCCUUCUGUGCAGUAGGUACCGCAUUAAGCGCCCCGCCUGGGAAGUACGGCCGCAAGGCUAAAACUCAAAGGAAUUGACGGGG
rnacentral:rRNA from 1 species